ACUAACAGAAACCGGAAAUCUUCUCUUACGCUUGUUUGUGUCAACCGAAAGGGUCGAAUCUCCAAAAACAAUGAAUGUUCUUUCCAAAGCUACAAACAAGAACCCAGCUGAGCCAUCUAUAAGUCCUUCAUCAAUUUUCCCUUUUUAUUAUUUUUUUAGAAAAAAACGAAAUUAAUUUGGUGUUUUUGCUCACAUGAUCAACAUUAUAUAUCACGAAAUCAAAAAGAUAAUAAUAAUAAUA
rnacentral:misc_RNA from 1 species